rnacentral:rRNA from 1 species
AACCUGCCUUACACAGGGGGAUAACACCUGGAAACAGGUGCUAAUACCGCAUAAGCGCACAGGGCCGCAUGGCCCGGUGUGAAAAACUCCGGUGGUGUAAGAUGGACCCGCGUCUGAUUAGCUUGUUGGCGGGGUAGGGGCCCACCAAGGCGACGAUCAGUAGCCGGCCUGAGAGGGUGGACGGCCACAUUGGGACUGAGACACGGCCCAAACUCCUACGGGAGGCAGCAGUGGGGGAUAUUGGACAAUGGGGGAAACCCUGAUCCAGCGACGCCGCGUGAGUGAAGAAGUAUUUCGGUAUGUAAAGCUCUGUCAGCAGGGAAGAAAGAAAUGACGGUACCUGACCAAGAAGCCCCGGCUAACUACGUGCCAGCAGCCGCGGUAAUACGUAGGGGGCAAGCGUUAUCCGGAAUUACUGGGUGUAAAGGGAGCGUACACGGUGAUGCAAGUCUGGAGUGAAAGGCGGGGGCCCAACCCCCGGACUGCUCUGGAAACUGUGUAACUUGAGUGCAGGAGAGGUAAGCGGAAUUCCUAGUGUAGCGGUGAAAUGCGUAGAUAUUAGGAGGAACACCAGUGGCGAAGGCGGCUUACUGGACUGUAACUGACGUUGAGGCU